AGGCGGGGGGAAAAAAUAAAAUGCCAGUCGUACGAAUUCUAUUCUCACCGGAAUCUUGCUCCUACCGGAAAACACAAGAGUGGCGAACGGGUGAGUAACACGUGCGUGACCUGCCCAUCACAAGGGGAUAACACUUGGAAACAGGUGCUAAUACCGUAUAACAAUCGAAACCGCAUGGUUUUGAUUUGAAAGGCGCUUUCGGGUGUCGCUGAUGGAUGGACCCGCGGUGCUCUUAGCUAGUUGGUGAUGCACCUGCUCACCUAGGCCACGAUGCAUAGCCGACCUGAGAGCGUGAUCGCCCACAUGGGUACUGAGACACGGCCCAUACUCCUACGGGAGGCAGCAGUAGGGAAUCUUCGGCAAUGGACGAAAGUCUGACCGAGCAACGCCGCGUGAGUGAAGAAGGAUUUCGGAUCGUAAAACUUUUUUGUCAGAGAAGAACAAGGAUGAGAGUAACUGUUCAUCCCUUGACCCCCCCUCACCAGAAUGCCACGGCUAACUACGUGCCAGCAGCCGCGGUAAUACGUACGUGGCAAGCGUUGUCCGGAUUUAUUGGGCGUAAAGCGAGCGCAGGCCGUUUUCUUUAAGUCUGAUGUGAAAGCCCCCCGCCUCAACCGGGGAGGGUCAUUUGGAAACUGGGGAGACUUGAGUGCAGAAGAGGAGAGUGGUAACUCCCAUGUGUUGCGGUGAAAUGCCUUACAUUUUUUGCAGAAACACCUUUGUCCAAAGCGCUUCUCUGGCCCUGUCACUGGACGCCUGAAGGCUCAGAACCCCUUGGA
rnacentral:rRNA from 1 species